GUAGGUCUGGAGCAGGGAAAGAAAGGGAUGGAGCAGCUCCACUUCCAAAUAUCACAUGGAUGGAGGAGCUGCAGGCUCUGCUCUUCAGUAUCCACGGGUUUUUGGAGAGUUACAGAGGUCCAGCAGGCAGGAAUCCAGGGAUUUUGUGCUGGGAAGGGUCUGGGGGAAGGUAAUGGGAUGGACCAGGGAGUGGAUAAUGGGAUGGGCCAGGGAUUCUGAACUGGGAAGGGUCUGGGAGCAGGUAAUGGGAAGGAUCCCAUCCCAAGGGAUGUUCACAACCCACAAGCAAGGAAUAUUCUAAGCCAGGAAAAGCAGUAUUUUGGAUAAAUGGCACCAGCACUGCAGUAAAAAAGCACCACUCCUGGAGUUCUGGACUUCAAACAGAUCCCAACCAGCACAAAAAUCAGGCAGAAAUCCUGGGAUUCUGCCUGAUGUCUGAAUGCCAAGGGAUGCCCACAACCCACAAAGAAGGACUAUUUUAAGCCAGGAAAAGCAAUAUUUUGGAUAAAUGGCACUGCAGUAAAACCACCCCACUCCUGGACUUCACACAGACCUCAAACAGCACAGAAAUGUUGUUUUCACUCACCGGUGUCUUGAUGUAAGUGUGAGGAUCUGGGAAUUCCGGGAAAUGGCCGGGAAUGUGGGGCGGAUGAGGCUUGUUCUGCCCAGCUGUCAGGGCCUUGGGAGUCACGGGCUGGUUUGUCACUGGAGCUGCAGUGGGAAACAGGGAAUCAGGGAGUUCCUCCCACCCAGGCUCACCCCAAAGCGCUGUGAGCCCAUCCCAGACUCCAUCCAAGGGAUGGAGCACAUCCCACGAGCUUGGGAUUGGCAUCCCAGAAGGCAAAAGGAUCCCUUGGCCCCUCUGUCCUGCAGCAAAACCACCCUGAAGGCUCCCCCGAGUGACUGAGGUCCCUUCACCUCCUGCAGUGUCACCACAGGAGCCCUGAAUUCCUGGCAUCAUCCCUCAGAAAGCUCAUCAGGAGCUCUCUGGAAGGCAGCAGAGAGGAAUUCCAAACUAUUCCCAGCUCCCCACGUACGGGCAGUGAUCACCAUCCUCUGGGAACGCUUGGCAUAGGCGGGAAGAGUUUCCACAUUGAACCCUGGAAGAAAGAA